GGGGGGCACAGUGGGGAAUAUUGCACAAUGGGGGAAACCCUGAUGCAGCCAUGCCGCGUGUAUGAAGAAGGCCUUCGGGUUGUAAAGUACUUUCGGUAGUGAGGAAGUUGUGUGUAUGAAAAGUGCAUGCAGUUGACGUUAGCUACAGAAGAAGCACCGGCUAACUCCGUGCCAGCAGCCGCGGUAAUACGGAGGGUGCGAGCGUUAAUCGGAAUGACUGGGCGUAAAGGGCAUGUAGGCGGAUAAUUAAGUUAGGUGUGAAAGCCCCGGGCUCAACCUGGGAAUUGCACUUAAAACUGGUUAUCUGGAGUAUUGUAGAGGAAGGUAGAAUUCCACGUGUAGCGGUGAAAUGCGUAGAGAUGUGGAGGAAUACCGGUGGCGAAGGCGGCCUUCUGGACAGAUACUGACGCUGAGAUGCGAAAGCGUGGGGAGCAAACAGGAUUAGAUACCCUGGUAGUCCACGCUGUAAACGAUGUCGAUUUGGAGUUUGUUGCCCUGAGUGAUGGGCUCCGAAGCUAACGCGAUAAAUCGACCGCCUGGGGAGU
rnacentral:rRNA from 1 species